GAAGACGUAUAUAUUGGACUGAUGGUUAUCUUCAACUCCUCAAAUCUUCUAUAUUUGAUGGUACUGAUGUUUUUACGAUAGUCCAAUUCGCUCAAAAGACAUUUCCACCGCCAAUUUGAAUAGAAUUAUAUGAUGAUCAAAUAUAUUGGACUAACUGGAAUGUUAAAAGUGUGAACACUGCUCAUAAAUACAAAAGCAAUGAUAUGAAGCCACUUAUAACUGGGAUAAAAGCACCGAGAAAUCUGAAGAUCAUAUCAAAAGAAACACGGAAGAAAGGUUAUAUCAAGGAUUAAAGCGUUUUGUCAGAUAACCAAAAAAAAUAUUUUUUUUAAAACACCGCUUGCGUUGUUACUUGUAUUACUUAACUCCUGAAUCGUUCAUAAUGAUGUAUGGUCUUUCUCUCUUUCCGUAUAUUAACUCAUCAUAGAUACCAGGAUUAGAAUUGUGUAUACCAGAAGUGUGUUCGUCUAAAAAGAAAAUGUUGUUACAUGUAUCAACUUGAUAUCAUAAUGUUCGAAAGGUCUCUUCAAACGCUUUUUGCAGUGAUUCAAACUUUAUCCUUACACUCUAGAAACAUUUACUGUUUGGAAUUUUCCUCGAAGUUCGGUAGUUUUGUUAUUUUACUUUUUUAUUAUUUUAAACAAGGUACACACCUAUGUGGGAAUACUAAUGGUGGCUGUCAGCAUCUAUGUCUCCCUGAUCCGAUCACUUUAAACAGUGCAGGGUAUAGCUGUGUUUGUGCUGAUAUGUUUCAUAAGGAUAAUGCAAUGCAAUGUAUUAAGAAAGAUACA
rnacentral:lncRNA from 1 species